GUCGCCAAGUGAGGGCCGGGGCUGCCCUGCAGAGCGUCUCCGCGGAGCCCUGGGGACCGCUCCUCUCCUGCAAACAUGAUUCAGAACCGCGCGUCAGCCUUGGCUCCAUCGCCUGGCUCGAGCGAGCGGGUCUUGGCUGCCUCGGCCCCGUCUGAACCCUGCGGGCCGUGGGCCAGGGCGGGCCAAGAGCCGCCGCGCCAGGACCCUCCCCUGACGCCAGGACCCUGCAGACCCGGCCGCAGCCGCGCAGAGUGCCUCCCGCCGGGGCCUCGCGCCCAGGGUCCACGCUUGCCACGCCAGGGCUGCACGGCGGGGUCCGCAGCUGGGUCUGAGCCUGGGACUUAGGGCUCCCUGCGCUCCGUGUGCAGCACCCCGCGCCUUCACCCCAAGCGAACGGGUCCUGGGGCUUCACCGGCAAGGCCAGAGCCCCAGCCCUACUGCUCCCCACCCCCGCACUGCCCCUGUGCGCUGGGAAGGGAGUCAGGGACAGGGGCCGAAGAAAGGAGACCUGCCGGCCCCCCCCAGGCUCCAGCCGCUUGAGGUUCCUGAUAUGUGCAGCUGUGUGGCGCCCCGCUUCCAGCAUGUUCUUGGUGGGGGCUCCCUCUCUGUGAAUUGGUGGGCAGGGAUUUGCCUUGGAGGGUGGCACCUGGCUACAGAAGUGUAAGACUUAGUAUCCGGUGAGCAGAGGGUCCUUUGGAUGAGGAACUGAAGCUUCUGGGGGUCAGUCUGGAAUCUUGGUUCCACCAAUUAUCAGAUGUCCAACUCGGAGAAAUCCACUCCCCCUCCCUGUUUUCUUGGUUAUAAAUAACUAUGGCUACCAUUUGAGUGCUUAUUAUUUUCCAUGUACUUUACAUAUGUUAUUUUUAUCUUUCCAACUAUUUUGCAGGCCACAUUCUGCUGAUGGAGAAAUGGGAUCUCAUCCAGGGAAAGUGAUUUGCCAAGGUUACACCACUGGGCCAGGGGUCUUGACUGCUAUUUCCUGUCCUUAUUUGGUGGAGUUGAAGGAAGGUCAGGAGCUCAAGCAGCAGGUGAAGUGCCGCCAGAAGAGAUGGUGGCAGCAGAAACAAGGGCAGCUCUCCACGCUGGGAGAAUGGCCCCAGAACAAGGUAAGGCAGCUGGGUUGGUCUGCUUUCUUCCUUUGCUGGACUCCUUUUCCUACAAACCUGGUACCCUAUGCCCUCAGGGGAGAAGAACUGUUGCCUGCUAGGUUGGUGGCAGGAACCAGCUUCCUGAAGCACAUCAAUUCGCUGGAAGAAAGACCUUGGUCUUGUUCCGUGCUGUUUUCCCCUCUCUAA
rnacentral:lncRNA from 13 species